UCCCCCUCCCCCCACCCCAGCACUUGGACUCUAACAGCCGCAAGGGGCAAAGGGUUUCAACUGUCUCGUCCCCCUGCUGUGUUCGCAGAGCCUCGACCAGAGCCUGGCAAGUGCUCCAGGUGACUCUGGUCACAGGCAGGCGUGGGGCUGCGGCCCCAGCUUAGCCUGCAGGAUCUGUGGGUUCAAGGCCAUCUUUAACUGCUGUACCUGCUUCCAGUGGGUGAUACGAGCUCCCCUGGCGAGCGAGGCAUGCCACCGGGGCUGGGCACCAUUGGAACAUAUGUAGCGGUUCUCACCCAGCUCGAGCUUCCUAGGAGAGGAAGAAUGUGGAGCUGCAUUCUUUCCACGCCUCAUCUCAACCCUUGACAGUUGGGAGAUCGCAUCCUCCUGGGCCCGCUCUCCUCAGCGCCCGUCCCCUCCCGCGGCGCUCAGUUGCCCCAGACUCUCCAGGAACUGGCGGCUCCCCAGGCUUAGAGCAGGAUUGCCCAGGAGUGGAGACAAGGGAGGACAGAGGUCAGAAGGCAGCGCUCACCGGCUGGGUGACCUGCGACCUCCCUGUGCUGUGGGCCCCACAGCUGGGAAACGAGAGGACAACCAGCUCCCUCAGAGGGCCGUGCUGAGCCGGUGGAGACACUGGCCAUGUGCACGGCUGGAGUCCAGUCAGGGCUAGUUUUCCUGUCCACUCUGAUACCCGGUGCCUGGCACAGAGUCAGUGCUCAAAGAGCGUUUGCUGAAAUGAAUGGAAUCCUCAUUUCUCCUUGUGGAAACCGGGGCCCAGAGACUGGCUGAUCUGACAACCAGCGCCAAGCCUUCUGCCUGCUCAAGGCUUCUUUACCUUUACCCUUCCGGAACAAGAAUGUGGGUGGCUGUGCCUACCAUCCCUGGGGGCCUCCCCACACCUCUGCUGCCACCGUUAUAGAGAUGAUUCGGAGCAGCCCGGCCCCAUGGUUCCCUCAGGGAGGAACAAGGACAGGGGUCCCUUGCAGCCUACCUGCCGUCCCCAGGUGGUGGAGGGGAUUGGUACUUCCUGCCCCCUUCUGUCCUUCUAUUUUGGGGCUUCAUAAUACAUUUCCUGCCUGUCACUCUGGACUUAAUAUGGUCAGGGGAACCAAAAGAUUGCCAUAUUUUUAGGGAUGACUCAAAGGGAGAACACAGCUGGGACGCUGACUCUAUUUCCUGUAACUCAGUUCUUUCCUGCAUUCACCAAGGGAGCGUCAUUGUCUUGCUCUGUGACUCAGUUUCCCCUUCUAAGCCUCAGGAAGGAGACAGAGCACAGGGUGUGGAGGCAUUGGGCUUGUAAGAUGGAGCUGGCAUGACAGGCUUGUGACAGUGACAUGAAAAACACUUGUCGGGGAUUGCUUUUGUUCCUCUCGGCAAGCUGGGCCGGUGCCUGCAGGGCCCUCCUCCCCGUGGGAGGCCUCCUAGCACACCCAUCUGGAUAAAAGGCCUCUGCACCCACAAAGUGGGGAGCUGGGGAAUUACUCCCAGCGGGGCGGCAUCAAACACCCAAAACCGGGCCAGCAGGCCAGGAGGCAAGUCUUAACACGCCCUCUUGGACUGCACCCCCAGGUCCACCUCCAGAAGUGGGGUGCAAAAGCAUUUGCAGAAAACGCAAGGGCCAGACCCUAAUUCCUGGGAAGCUGCCCUUUGAUCACGAUGGGGGGCCGCAUUGCUAAAGUGUCCCCAGGGCCCAGCGCAGGGCUGGGAGCUUGGGGAUGGUGACAGAGUGGAGCCUCCCACUUCUGGCUUCCCCUUUCCGCAGCUGGGCCACCGGCUAUGGGGGAACGCCGCCCCCUUUUCCACCACGCAGGGCUGGGGUGCAAGGCCACAGGGAGCCUGGCACCCAGCCGCGGGGAGGGGCGCGCGAAGGAGAGCCUCUGGGCCUCAGCCCAAACUUUCCCCAUGUCCCUCCCACCCCCUCCCGGGCCAAGCAAGAGGAAACUGA